rnacentral:rRNA from 1 species
GACGAACGCUGGCGGCGUGCUUAACACAUGCAAGUCGAGCGGUAAGGCCCUUUCGGGGGUACGACGAGCGGCGAACGGGUGAGUAACACGUGGGUGACCCGCCCUCAGCUCUGGGAUAAAGCCUGGGAAACCGGGUCUAAUACUGGAUAUGACUCCAUGACGCAUGUUGUGGGGUGGAAAGCCUUGUGCGGCUGAGGAUGGGCCCGCGGCCUAUCAGCUUGUUGGUGGGGUGAUGGCCUACCAAGGCGACGACGGGUAGCCGGCCUGAGAGGGCGACCGGCCACACGUGGGACUGA